rnacentral:rRNA from 1 species
GGUUAAGCGACUAAGCGUACACGGUGGAUGCCCUGGCAGUCAGAGGCGAUGAAGGACGUGCUAAUCUGCGAAAAGCGCCGGCGAGGUGAUAUGAACCCUUGACCCGGCGAUGUCCGAAUGGGGAAACCCAGUGCAAUCCGUUGCACUAUCGUUAACUGAAUACAUAGGUUAACGAGGCGAACCGGGGGAACUGAAACAUCUAAGUACCCCGAGGAAAAGAAAUCAACCGAGAUUCCCCCAGUAGCGGCGAGCGAACGGGGAGCAGCCCGGAGUCUGAAUCAGCUUGUGUGUUAGUGGAACGGUCUGGAAAGUCCGACGGUACAGGGUGAUAGUCCCGUACACGAAAAUGCACAUGCUGUGAACUCGAAGAGUAGGGCGGGACACGUGGUAUCCUGUCUGAAUAUGGGGGGACCAUCCUCCAAGGCUAAAUACUCCUGACUGACCGAUAGUGAACCAGUACCGUGAGGGAAAGGCGAAAAGAACCCCGGCGAGGGGAGUGAAAAAGAACCUGAAACCGUGUACGUACAAGCAGUGGGAGCCUCUUUAUGGGGUGACUGCGUACCUUUUGUAUAAUGGGUCAGCGACUUAUAUUCUGUAGCAAGGUUAACCGUAUAGGGGAGCCGAAGGGAAACCGAGUCUUAACUGGGCGUUAAGUUGCAGGGUAUAGACCCGAAACCCGGUGAUCUAGCCAUGGGCAGGUUGAAGGUUGGGUAACACUAACUGGAGGACCGAACCGACUAAUGUUGAAAAAUUAGCGGAUGACCUGUGGCUGGGGGUGAAAGGCCAAUCAAACCGGGAGAUAGCUGGUUCUCCCCGAAAGCUAUUUAGGUAGCGCCUCGUGAACUCAUCUUCGGGGGUAGAGCACUGUUUCGGCUAGGGGGCCAUCCCGGCUUACCAACCCGAUGCAAACUACGAAUACCGAAGAAUGUUAUCACGGGAGACACACGGCGGGUGCUAACGUCCGUCGUGAAGAGGGAAACAACCCAGACCGCCAGCUAAGGUCCCAAAGUCAUGGUUAAGUGGGAAACGAUGUGGGAAGGCACAGACAGCCAGGAUGUUGGCUUAGAAGCAGCCAUCAUUUAAAGAAAGCGUAAUAGCUCACUGGUCGAGUCGGCCUGCGCGGAAGAUGUAACGGGGCUAAACCAUGCACCGAAGCUGCGGCAGCGAC